rnacentral:rRNA from 1 species
AGCGCCAGGGAAUUACGAGCAAUGCUUAAAACCCAAAGGAUUUGACGGUAUCCCAUCCACCUAGAGGAGCCUGUUCUAUAAUCGAUAACCCCCGCUACACCGAACCACCCCUAGCUUAUCAGCCUGUAUACCUCCGUCGAAAGCCUACCAUGUGAAUGUUUUCAGUAAGCCCAAUGACCCCCAUCAAAACGUCAGGUCAAGGUGCAGCUUACGGAGUGGAAAGCAAUGGGCUACAGUUUCUAAACUAGAACAUACGAAAAAUUAGGUGAAACCCUAGUCAUGAAGGCGGAUUUAGUAGUAAAAAGAAAAUAGAGUGUUCUUUUUAACUUGGCCCUGGGAUGUGUACACACCGCCCGUCACCCUCUUCGACUAUUCUCAAGACUGCUCCCUAACUCCAUCCCCGCACCCUAGAAGAGGUAAGUCGUAACACGGUAAGUGUACUGGAAAGUGCACUUGGCUAAUAA